rnacentral:lncRNA from 1 species
CGGCAAGAAUUGAAAAGAUGUCGUCAAUUGCUUGAACCGAAGAAAAUUUUCUCAUUCUGGUUGCAAAAUAAUUUACCUCGGUGUGACCGACGAUGGCGAGUGUAAAAGGGCCUACAUUUGUAAGGGCGACGAGAUGUUACGGCAAUAAAAAUCAAGGCUCACGGUGCGAAAGGGAAACAGGAAUUAGAUGGGUUAGCGGUUGUCAAACUGGCCAACUGGUACCGUCUCGAAUUGAACCUGAGAAGGUCUUUCAUGUCGGAAGAGGUGGGACUUUUGAAAGCUCCUAAGCCAUCGCUGAGUACUUUUGACGUGACUCCGGUCUCCCAAGUAAAUUGAAUUCGGAGUACAGCACAGAAGAGAAAAUUUCGGAAGGAUAACGAGACGUUUAAGGCGUACCAGACAUGACUUCGGGAUGAUCGACUUUGGACAAGCAGAAAG